CCGAAACCUCAAAGCCCUAACAUAUUGGGGAUUCUAAAAUUGGCUCCAUCUUUUACCAAACUUAGUCUAAUUUUAGUCAAAUUUGAUUUCCAUCACCGCAAUAUAUUCCCUCUCUACAAAUUGUGGUUCCGAAAAAAGCUAUGUAUGGAGAGUAUGAGAGAUUUAGAAGGAAAAGAUUUUGACGAAAACAGGGAAAGGGAGGCAAGCUAUUGGAAGAACAUUGAUGUAGGGUUCAGACUUUUGGUGAGGCUUUUGCAGGUUUUCGAUGACUCAUAUGAAGAUCACCAACAAUCAUUAUCACCGAUUUCAGUUGUUCACAAAAAUAAGAACUUCUGAAGGAUGUAAGAUCAAUUAUUGCAAGGAAUACUUGGCUUGUGAUGGAUCCGUAAAGCCUUGCUUCAGAAUUUAUUCUAGAAUUUAAGGGAAUUCAUUCAGAUUAGAAGUGAAUUUGACAUAGUUCCAUGUUAAAAUUACUUUAUCUUUUAUGAUUUAAUUUGAAUUACUUUUUAUUUGAGAUAUAACAGGUCAUUUGAUUUGAACUCUUAACUUGUAAGGAGAACCCUUAUUAUGUCAGUUACCAUGUUCUUCAA